AAUAUGGUUAUUGUUCAUUUAGA
rnacentral:siRNA from 1 species